UAUAAAAAAAUUUAUAAAUAAGGAA
rnacentral:tRNA from 1 species